AGUGAACGCUGGCGGUAGGCCUAACACAUGCAAGUCGAACGGCAGCACAGGAGAGCUUGCUCUCUGGGUGGCGAGUGGCGGACGGGUGAGGAAUACAUCGGAAUCUACUUUUUCGUGGGGGAUAACGUAGGGAAACUUACGCUAAUACCGCAUACGACCUACGGGUGAAAGCAGGGGAUCUUCGGACCUUGCGCGAUUGAAUGAGCCGAUGUCGGAUUAGCGAGUUGGCGGGGUAAAGGCCCACCAAGGCGACGAUCCGUAGCUGGUCUGAGAGGAUGAUCAGCCACACUGGAACUGAGACACGGUCCAGACUCCUACGGGAGGCAGCAGUGGGGAAUAUUGGACAAUGGGCGCAAGCCUGAUCCAGCCAUACCGCGUGGGUGAAGAAGGCCUUCGGGUUGUAAAGCCCUUUUGUUGGGAAAGAAAUCCAGCUGGUUAAUACCCGGUAGGGAUGACGGUACCCAAAGAAUAAGCACCGGCUAACUUCGUGCCAGCCGCCGCAGUAA
rnacentral:rRNA from 1 species